GCAUUGAGUAGUUAAAACAUUUUUCCCAGUAUGAAUAAAAUUGUUCCAGCUUAUGAUUAACAGAUGCUGUUAUCUUCUCCAUUUUGUAAAUGUCCAUUGUAAUUUCCAUCCAUGUAUUUAAAGUUGGGCUCUCCUGUGAUAACCAUUUCCUAGUAAGAGUAUUUGAUAAUUCAGAUAAUGGUAGUAGGAUAAUUUCAAGCAUGUACAAGGGGAUGUCAAAUCUUAAAACACAUUCGACUUCAUACCUUAAAACUAAAUGGGAGAAUGAAGGAGAGAUAAUUAUAUCUGAGGAAGAAUGGACAAUAAUAUGGAGGUAUCAACGGAAGUGUACCAGUUCACAGAAAUGGAGGGAGUUUGGAUGGAAAAGCUUGAUAAGAUAUUUUAUUACACCCUCUCAGAAAUCCCUUUAUGAUAGUAACCUCCUUGUUUGCUGGAGAAAUUGUGGAAAUCAAAAUGCAAAUCAUUAUCAUAUUUUUUGGGACUGCCCUGUUAUCAAAGACUAUUGGAGGGGGAUACACGAUGCCCUACAAGACAUCUUUAAAUGUGAAAUACCCUUAGAGAGUAAGACCAUAUAUUUUGAAUAUAUACCUCAAGAAUGGUUGAAAAGAGAUAAAUAUUUAAUGAAUAUACAGUUGGUGGCUGGUAAAAAGACUCAGCUGUCAUUCCUAAUCUGCGAAGCCACUUUUCCCAGUGGGACAGGACCAAAUAAACAAAUGCACAAGAAUUAACACAAGGGUAAGGAUGACCAUUGCUGAGCUAUAGUAUGCAGAUAUAGAAUUGGUGCAUUGAACAUACAGAGCAACACUACACAGGUGGCAUGGUAGCAUAGUGGUUAGCACAAUGGUUUACAGUAUAGGUAACCGAGGUUCAAUUCCUGCCCCUGCCUGUAAGGAGUUUGUACGUUCUCCUCCAGCUGCUCCGGUUUCCUCUCACAGACUGGUUUGUAGGUUAAUUAGUCAUUGUCCCAUGAUUAGGCUCAGAUUAAAUUGGGGGAUUGCUGGGCUGUGUAGCUCAAAGAGCUGGAAGUGUCCAUUCUGCACCGUAUCGUGAUAAAUAAAUAAACAUUCAUUCAAAAACAUAUUUUUAGCAUUGUUUGGUUAGACUGAGUGUUAGUAUUUAUUGUCUCCUGCAGGAUCAGCUGACAGGGUGUCUCAGUUACAGACAUUACUCAUUCAAUACAGUGGAUUAAAAAAUACGGACAAAGUACAUUCUAGGUGGUGCAUGGGAACACUGCCACCUCUCAAUCCCUCUCUGUGUCACGCAGCAUCCUGUCUUGCACAUUACUGUUUCUUCAUCAUCAUGGGUCUGAAACCCUGCAGUUCCCAAUCCAAUAGCUGGAGCAUGUCAAAAUCAAAGCAAAUUUAUGAUCAAAGUACUUACGAAAAUGAAACUUUCACUACAUCAGCAAGGCAGGAUGGCUGACAAGGAAAUUCAAAGCCAAUGUAAAAACCAAAGAGAGGGCAUAUAAUGGAGCAAAAAUUUAUGGAAAAUUAGAGGAUUGAGAAUCUUUUAAAAACUAACAUAAGGAGCUAAAAAGUCAUAAAAAGAAAAAGAUGAAAUAUGAAGGAGGAGGAGAGGAGAAAGAAUGUCCAGAGAAGUGCAAAGAGUCCCAUGGAGGGAAGACUGAUGUGCUGAGCAGUGAUCACACUCUGCACUUCCUUGUGGUUGUGGGCAGAGCAGUCGCAAUUUCGAGCUGUGAUGCAUGGAGAUAAGACCCCUCCUGAGACAUGACCUUGGCAGUAAGUUACCUGAAGCUGAGGCAGCACAACAAAGCAGAAGAUGAUCGCAAGUGGUAUCAGUAUGAAGGUGAGACUCUGUCUCAUAGAGGAUUGCAUCAUGGACACUACUAUCAAUGUUAAAAUGGGCAAGUGUGUUUGUGGUGGAUGGGGUUUUGUCAAAGACCCUGACCUAGAGCUACUCUCAAACUUCCGUUCUUUGCGGCAAUGGGAGCUGCUUCCUCGGGCUCAAGACUGCCAUUUUUCGUUAUCCCAAGGAUGAAGCCUAGAAAACGAGCAUGCCUCAGUCUUUGCGGCCCUGUGGACGAGCCGAUUCUUUGCCGAUGUCACCAACUGAAGCAUUUCAGGAGAAAACAGAACAUCAGGAACAGCUGUCGGGGGUUCUGUACUCAGAUCAUGCUCUCACUCUCUCUGUCGCUCUCUCUCUCUUUCUCUCAUUGCUAGGGGAGAAUUUAUUCUGAUUCUUGAGUUGGAGAACUCGGGGAGAAAAAGCGACACCACAGACUUUAACACAAUAAUCAGUGAGUUGCUCAUCUCUGUUGGUCUCCUCUCUUGCUAUGAAAGGGGAUCAUCAUCUCUCGGGGGCUUUGCUGUUACUUGUUUGGUGGGUGGAGGGUGCUAAUGCUUUUUUUGCUGAAGUAACUGGGGAUGGGGGAGGGUCAUUGCUUUGCCGCUGUAUGGUAUGGGAGAGGGAGUAGGGAGGGCUUUGGGGUUCUAACGUUUUUAUUGGCAAUCAUUCUUUGGGGUCCUCUUCUGUUUUCAUGGACGUCUGUGAAGAACGAGAAUUUCAGGUUGUAUAUUGUAUACAUUCUCUGAUAUUAAAUGGAACUACAGUAUUGAACUUAUGGAAACCCCUAGUACUAGGCAAGGCCCAAUAAAGUCUAACAUACUUGUGCACAUUUACUCCUAUGAAUAGUUGAACUAACUUCCACUCUCUCUCCACUUUUACUGAUUGUUCUUUCCUACCUUUCUCUGGUGCUUUUGAUGCUAAUCAUUACAAUAUGGUGGCGGUGUGAUUACCAUACUGAGAAAUUUUUGGUUACUUUCUGACCUAUGGACAAAAUGAAGGUAUGGGCAUCUGUAGAAGUUGAACCCAUUUGUUACCCAGAGAUGGUUGGCAUAUUUAUAUGCUUAGCACAAAAUUAAUAUCCAAGUAAGUAAAAUAAAUUGGACAGACUUCCUUUUUGAGUAUCCUUUUCCUCUGCAAGACAGUUCUAACUAAUGACAAAUAUAAAAUUAACCAAUAGUUUAUUUUACGAAGCGUGAGGGGGCA